ACAGCCACACUGCCACAAACCACCUUCCACCAUAAGUCAUAUGAUAACUGGGCCAGGGAGCAGAGCCCACACCUAACCUCCUGUGAGCCACAGACUGUUUGGACUGAAUAGGGCAGGGGGUUAAAAGAUUCAAAGUCAGCUUCUGGUUCAGUUACUGGCAGUUACUUCAGCCAGAAAGUCACAUCGACUUAAAUACUAACAAAGACUUCUUUGAGACAAGGGGAAAGCUUCAAGCACAGGAAGCCUGUUCCCAAAGAAGGAAUCAAGCCUAAGCACAGUUAGAGAUCUUCACUAGAACACGCAUUAUGGCAGAAACUAUCAAAUUCUGGUGACAGAAGGCAAGGGAUGGCCAAACCCGGAUAAACAGUCCACGGGACAUACACUGAAUUCUACAGUAUCAACGGGCUGAGGAAAUAAGUGAAUAAGGUCCUGGCUGGAGAGAGCACCCUCCCUCACUCGAUCAGAGGAGAGAAUUCAGCAUCAUCUUGAGCCAAAGUUGGGAAACAAAAGCAAUCACAAGAGCAUUUCAAUCUGCCUGAGCUACUUAGUGAGCAAGGAAAAAUGCAGACAUACU